ACAGUUCAAAUGUUCAUGCACUAAUAUUGUUUCUUUUUCAAUGACAAUAAAUUACCAAAUAUAUAUCAUUUCAGAAUUACAUUGACAUUACCAUAUCCUGAAGACAAAGAAACUACAAAUUCCUCCAUAGAAAAAACAAGAAACACACCAAUAAGAACUACCUCAGUAACUCUGAAAACCCAAUGUUAAAUGUUAGUGAAGAUUAUACCAUGCAAGCGAAAUGUACUUCUGAAAUGAUAUUUCCUUAGUCCACAACAAAACUUUUCAGAUGAAUGAACUAAACCAACAAAACUUUUCAGAUAUAAAUUCUAGGGUGAAUGAACUAAACCAUAAGUUAGUCAAUUAUAAAUUUAAAAUUGAUUUCAUUGGAAUUUUGAAUUUGAAAUGUAUUUAACAAAAUUGUUUAAACUACAUAUACAUUUUUGUUAUUAUCUUACAAAAUUAAUGAUAGAUACAACAGGAAAAAUAUUUCACCAAAUUUGAAUUUAUUUGGGUGUUCUGAUUUCUUACUCAAAAGAUGAUGUAGAAUAUUUACAGAGUAUUCUAUAUAAACUCAUCAUAUAUACUAGAAUUAAUAAUUUGUAGAUAUGAUAACAUGUCAAAUUUGAAUAUUUUUUUUUCAAAUUCUGGAAUUUAAAGACAGUAUGAAGAGCUGCAUUUAUUGCAACCAACACUAUUGUUGAAUUGGAAGCAAGUUAACUCGUACCACAGAAAACUCGUACCUCGUUUACUCGUACCAAAAAAGUUAACUCGUACGUAAACUCGUAUCACUGGGAAGUCGUACCACUGCAAACUCGUAACAUCAAAAAUAUAUUAAAAAAUAUGAAUGUUUGUGGGUUUUUUUUUUUGUAAACUUAAUAAAGUUGAAUUACUUGAAUUUUAUACUGGAUUUUAAUGAAAACUUAGACAAAAAUACGAAUGUUUUUAAAAGCUUUAUUUUUCAAGCUGAUACUAGCUUAAAUACAGAAGAAAGUAAAAACAUUGCUUUAACUGUACCUUUAGUUGAAUAUCUAUAUCCAAAUUAAAUUAAUUAAAGCUGUAAUCCAUGAUCACAAAUUGAAUGCUAUGUUUACAAUUGUUGAAAGCCAUGUGCUUUUUGGCGGGAAAAUUGUCUAUCCAAUAGACAAGGAACAUUAGCUACAAAUUGGUCAUUGUACUUUCAAAUUAUAUACAUUUUUUCAGACUUAAGAGGUAUUGAGUGAAAGUAAAGUAUAUACAUCAUUAAACACCAUUUAAAUGCAUUUAAAUAAGUUGGUACGAGUUAGCAGUAAUACAAGUUUGCAUUGGUACGAGUUUUUGUAAAGUGGUACGAGUUGACGUUGGUACGAGUUUACAAUGGUAUGGGAUAACCAUAAUUCGUUGAAUUGAUCUUUUGGCUAUAUAUCAUUAAAUAUUUUCAUUUCAAAUUUCAAAAAUUGAAAUUGUUGGUAAACCUAAAUUGUCUGAGGUAUAUAUCUGGAAGAGAAAUAAUAUAAAUUUCGAUAUGAAUAUCUAAAUAAAAUCUUAUUGUUCCAAUUACUUAAUAAUAGUUGUCAAAAUUCAGGUUAAUAAGUAAAUAUCUAAAUUUACUAUCAGACACUACUUGUGAAUAUUAGAAAAGAGGUUUAAAAUACCAGUAAAUU
rnacentral:lncRNA from 1 species